rnacentral:rRNA from 1 species
AACGAACGCUGGCGGCAUGCCUAACACAUGCAAGUCGAACGAGACCUUCGGGUCUAGUGGCGCACGGGUGCGUAACGCGUGGGAAUCUACCCUCAGGUUCGGAAUAACUCAGAGAAAUUUGAGCUAAUACCGGAUGAUGACGUAAGUCCAAAGAUUUAUCGCCUGAGGAUGAGCCCGCUUAGGAUUAGGUAGUUGGUGAGGUAAAGGCUCACCAAGCCGACGAUCCUUAGCUGGUCUGAGAGGAUGAUCAGCCACACUGGGACUGAGACACGGCCCAGACUCCUACGGAAAGCAGCAGUGGGGAAUAUUGGACAAUGGGCGAAAGCCUGAUCCAGCAAUGCCGCGUGAGUGAUGAAGGCCUUAGGGUUGUAAAGCUCUUUUACCCGGGAUGAUAAUGACAGUACCGGGAGAAUAAGCUCCGGCUAACUCCGUG